rnacentral:rRNA from 1 species
GGUUUUUUGAAUUAUAAUUUAAGAUUAGUUCUGCUCAAUGAUUUGAAAUUAAAUAGCCGCAGUAUUUUGACUGUGCUAAGGUAGCAUAAUCAAUUGUUUUUUAAUUGAGAACUGGAAUGAAGGAAUUGAUGAGAUUAAGACUGUCUAUAUAUAAAAUUUUAAAAUUUAAAUUUUAAGUAAUAAUUCUUAAAUAAAGUUAUGGGACGAGAAGACCCUAUAGAAUUUGAUAUAAUUUUUUAAAAUAAGUAUAAAAUAAUAUUUAAUAAAAUUAAUAUUUUAUUGGGAGGAUAAUUAAAUUAAAUUAACUUUAAAAUUAAAAUUAAACAUUAAUUUAUGAGAUAAUGGUUGAAUAAUUUUAUAAUAAUAAUUAAAAUUAAUUAAAAAUUAAUUACCUUAGGGAUAACAGCGUAAUAUUUUUAAAAAGAUCAUAUUGAUAAAAGUGUUUGCGACCUCGAUGUUGAAUUAAAAUAAAAAUUAAAUGAAGAAGUUUAAUAUUUUA